GGACAGUGUCGACAGUCAGGUAUACUAAUCACCAGGAUGGAACUAAAUCCCAUUUUCUAUCAGACAUCAUGAAAGGCAUCUUCGAUUCCUGACUUCCUCGCAGAACCCCGAAGGUCGGCCUAUCUCCCAAGGGAGACACAUAUCACAGGGACCGCCAGAAUGCGGUGUUAUUCAAUUGGCACAUUGCAUGAGGGUGCACAAUGUUGAUCGCACUCCAGCUACCUGGGCCUCCUCCGGGGACGUAUGCUUUUCCCUCCAUUGCGAUGAUUGCGAAACUUCUCCAUCAUCUCCUUGUUCAGUGAAUAAUACUGCCUUGGCCGCCC